rnacentral:rRNA from 1 species
GGAAGUAAAAGUCGUAACAAGGUUUCCGUAGGUGAACCUGCGGAAGGAUCAUUAACUACCGGCACCCCUCCCGGGGGGUGCGCGGCUCGGGGCGACCCGUGCCGUCUGUAGUCCCUGUCUUUUCGAGUACCUGUUCCGUUUCCUCGGCGGGCCUGCCCGCCAGCGAGGACCCAAACCAAACCCUGAAGUGAGCGGUUACGUCUGAAAACAAACAAAAUCUAUCAAAACUUUCAACAACGGAUCUCUUGGUUCUGGCAUCGAUGAAGAACGCAGCGAAAUGCGAUAAGUAGUGUGAAUUGCAGAAUUCAGUGAAUCAUCGAAUCUUUGAACGCACAUUGCGCCCCUUGGUAUUCCUUGGGGCAUGCCUGUUCGAGCGUCAUCUACACCCUCAAGCUCAGCUUGGUGAUGGGCGACUGUCCCCCCGCGGACUCGCCUCAAACGCAUCUGGCGGCUGGGCCGGCGGCUUCUCCUGCAGCACAUUUGCAGCGCGAGGCGCGCGGCUCCGGCGAACCACAAGCCCCUUUCUCAGUUUUGACCUCGGAUCAGGUAGGGAUACCCGCUGAACUUAAGCAUAUCAAUAAGNCGGAGGAAUCAUUAACU